ACGUAGGGGGCAAGCGUUAUCCGGAAUUAUUGGGCGUAAAGAGUGCGUAGGUGGUUUUUUAAGCGUGAGGUGAAAGGCAAUAGCUUAACUAUUGAAAUCCUUGAGAAGUGGAAGAUUUGAGUGCAGGAGAGGAAAGUGGAAUUCCUAGUGUAGCGUUGAAAUGCGUAGAUAUUAGGAGGAACACCAGUGGCGAAGGCGACUUUCUGGACUGGACCUGACGCUGAGGUACGAAAGCGUGGGGAGCAAACAG
rnacentral:rRNA from 1 species